CGAUAAUCUGCCCUAAAGUCUGGAAUAACCACGGGAAACUGUGGCUAAUACCGGAUAGAAAAUUGAUACUGGAAUGUACUUUUUUUGAAAGUUCCGACGCUUUAGGAUGAGUCGGCGGCUGAUUAGGUAGUUGGUGAGGUAAUGGCUCACCAAGCCUAAGAUCAGUACGGGCCUUGAGAGAGGUAGCCCGGAGAAGGACACUGAGAAAAGGGUCCUAGCCCUAAGGGGUGCAGCAGGUGGGAAACCUUUACAAUACACGAAAGUGUGAUAAGGGAACCCAAAGUGCUCGCCAAUGGUGAGCUUUUGUUAAGCGUAAAUAACUUGACGAAUAAGUGGUGGGUAAGACCGGUGCCAG
rnacentral:rRNA from 1 species